rnacentral:lncRNA from 1 species
AAGCUAUAUUGCAUUACGACGCUCAAAUUAAGUGGAAUCAUGCACGAAAUGCAAAUACUGCACUUAACUAAACGGCAGUUUGCUCGUCUUUAUUCGGUUGUGCUUCGGUUACAAAGCUGCAGAGGCCUUUGGUGAAGAGGCGGGACGUCUUGCAUUUGUGUGACGAUAUCCAUGGUUGGCUUCCUGGGCCACAAUGAAUGUGGUUUUAUGGAUGACAGAUAAGAAACUAGAAUGGCCUUGUGUGUAUGCAUUCAAAGUAGGAGCUAUGAAUGGAAAAUGCAGCGAUUCCACCAACUGGAUAUCAGAUGACAAAGGCGGAUCCCCUUGCUGACGUCACCGGAUCAUUGCUCGCCGCGUCACCGUCGGUCGUACACGAGGCCAAUUGCAAUAGGUAAACAUUCCGUGAAA